UUCCUCUUUAAACCUCUGAUGACCACAUUUGGCCUGUGGGCCUUCAGUUUCACACUUGUGAUGUAGAUAAGACACCCAGUCGUUUGCUUGGUGCAGAAGGUGAGUACCACCAUUCAAAAACAAAUGCAACCCUUCACUCUUUUGUUCCUUCGAAUGUCCUGGAUUCAGAGAGGACUGCAUAUAAUCUGGGCUCCUUGCAGAGAGAGACAUUCUUCUUCCCAGAAGGACAGAGCAGACCUCACAUUUUCUACUGUUAUUCCUACAGACUUUUGAGGAUCUGUUGGAACUGCUGAGCACAGCCACAUUUGAGAGGACAAAACUCAAACCUGGAUUUCUUUCAACUGUUUUUUGUUGUUUUGUCUCGUGGACUGUUGACCACUUUGCAACAUUUUGGAGGAUAAAAACCAGCUUGGAGAUUUUUCUGCUCUUGGUUUUGAGCUCAUAACAACAGAGACAAUGAAUCCUAAAGGAGUUUGUCCUGAAGAAGAAGCCUUGCACUUCAUUGCUUCUGAGAAGGACAAAGACAUAUUUCAGAAGAAAUUCAUCAGUGAAGACAAAGGUCAUGGAGUUAUUGCCAC